GAUGAACGCUAGCGAUAGGCUUAACACAUGCCAGUCGAGGGGCAGCACAAGGUAGCUUGCUAUCUGGGUGGCGACCGGCGCACGGGUGCGUAACGCGUAUGCAACUUGCCCUAUACAGGAGGAUAACCCGUCGAAAGACGGACUAAUACUGCGUAUGCUCACAACUUGGCAUCAAGUGGUGAGGAAAGAAAUUCGGUAUAGGAUAGGCAUGCGUCCCAUUAGCUUGUUGGUGAGGUAACGGCUCACCAAGGCAACGAUGGGUAGGGGAACUGAGAGGUUUAUCCCCCACACUGGUACUGAGACACGGACCAGACUCCUACGGGAGGCAGCAGUGAGGAAUAUUGGUCAAUGGGCGCGAGCCUGAACCAGCCAAGUCGCGUGAAGGAUGACUGUCUUAUGGAUUGUAAACUUCUUUUAUACGGGAAUAACAAGAGUCACGUGUGACUCCCUGCACGUACCGUAUGAAUAAGCAUCGGCUAACUCCGUG
rnacentral:rRNA from 1 species